GGACCCGCACAAGCGGUGGAGUAUGUGGUUUAAUUCGAUGCAACACGAAGAACCUUACCAGGGUUUGAAAUCAUUUCAAAACUCCUUGAAAGAGGAGCCUCCUUCGGGAUGAAAUGACAGGUGGUGCAUGGCUGUCGUCAGCUCGUGUUGUGAAAUGUCGAGUUAAGUCUCGUAACGAGCGCAACCCAUGUCUCUUGUUGCUCACUGAGUGCUUAAGAGAGACUGCCGACCAACAUCGGAGGAAGGUGUGGAUGAUGUCAAGUCAGCAUGCCCCUUACAUCCUGGGCUACACACGUACUACAAUGGUAGGGACAAUGAGCUGCGAUCCUGCGAAGGCUAGCC
rnacentral:rRNA from 1 species